rnacentral:rRNA from 1 species
UGGUGGAGUGAUUUGUCUGGUUAAUUCCGAUAACGAACGAGACCUUAACCUGCUAAAUAGCCAGGCCGGCUUCGGCUGGUCGCCGGCUUCUUAGAGGGACUAUCAGCGUUUAGCUGAUGGAAGUUUGAGGCAAUAACA